UACGUAGGCAGCAAGCGUUGUUCGGAGUUACUGGGCGUAAAGGGUGCGUAGGUGGCUCUAUAAGUAUGGUGUGAAAUCUCCCGGCUUAACUGGGAGGGUGCGCCGUAGACUGUGGGGCUAGAGUGUGGGAGAGGAAAGUGGAAUUCCUGGUGUAGCGGUGAAAUGCGUAGAUAUCAGGAGGAACACCGGUGGCGAAGGCGGGUCUCUGGGCCGAUACUGACGCUGGAGGAGCGAAAGCGUGGGGAGCGAACAGG
rnacentral:rRNA from 1 species